rnacentral:rRNA from 1 species
UACGAAGGGUGCAAGCGUUAAUCGGAAUUACUGGGCGUAAAGGGUGCGUAGGCGGUUCGUUAAGUCUGUCGUGAAAUCCCCGGGCUCAACCUGGGAAUGGCGAUGGAUACUGGCGAGCUAGAGUGCGGCAGAGGGGGGUGGAAUUCCACGUGUAGCAGUGAAAUGCGUAGAGAUGUGGAGGAACACCGAUGGCGAAGGCAGCCCCCUGGGCCGAUACUGACGCUCAGGCACGAAAGCGUGGGGAGCAAACAGG